AACGAACGCUGGCGGCGCGCCUAAUACAUGCAAGUCGAGCGAGAAGACGUAGCAAUACGUUUGUAAAGCGGCGAACGGGUGAGGAAUACAUGGGUAACCUACCCUCGAGUGGGGAAUAACUAGCCGAAAGGUUAGCUAAUACCGCGUACGCUCCUUGGACUUCGGUUCAGGGAGGAAAGCGAUACCGUGGGUAUCGCGCUCUUGGAUGGGCUCAUGUCCUAUCAGCUUGUUGGGAGGUAACGGCUCACCAAGGCUUCGACGGGUAGCUGGUCUGAGAGGACGAUCAGCCACACUGGCACUGCGACACGGGCCAGACUCCUACGGGAGGCAGCAGUAAGGAAUAUUGCGCAAUGGGCGAAAGCCUGACGCAGCGACGUCGCGGUGGGGGAGUGAAGG
rnacentral:rRNA from 1 species